AUUCCACUCCAGUCAUUACCACGAGCCCGUCCUCCCUAAUCAAGGUGCCACCAACCUCCUGUGGUGUGUGUGCGUGCGUGCGUGUGUGUGUGCGCACACUGGGAGAGAGUGCAGCGCUGGGGAAAGCAGGAGCAGUGCUGUGGGGGGAGCUGAGGUUCGCUAAGUCAAAGAUCAGAUCCUAAAGACCUCAGUCUGUGCAUGCACAUCCACUAUAAUGUACAUUUAUUGUACGCAUACAUACCUCUACAGCCAUUAUUACCAAGACAUUGUAUGCAGUUCAGUUUCUAUUAGAUUAUCUUUUUGUAUUUGUAAAUGAAUCUUUCUCUCCCUCUCGUCAGUGUGUGAUACUGAGGGACUACAUUCAUUCUGAACUGAGAGAGUACAUCAGCACCCUGAAGAGAGGGGUGCAGCGAAGAGCGAUGCCAUGGCAACGAUUGUUGUGCCAGACAGGACCCAUACUCUGACCACAUGAUCCUACUUUCUGGCCCCUUCUCCAACUUCCUCCCUGAGCCGUGUCAUGACCUCUGUCGCCUUCUCGCUAACUUCCUGUGCCAGUGCUAUCAGGACUGGGCAGGUGAGGAGUGUCAGGAAAGGAUAGCCUCUAUCACCAAUAUAUAAUAUAAUAAUACCUCUUGUUUAUUUAGUUGUUGGACAGUGGCCUCAUUGCAAUUCCACCAAGGGUAUCAAAUUGAGAACAGUGGCAGUUGCCAUGCUAAGGCACUUCCUCGGCGUACUCAUUAAACACAAUUCGAUUCCACGCGUGACAUGUUGAAGUUGUGAUAGUCAGACAGAAUUUCCCAAAUCGGCACAGUGUUUCAGUAACAAAAUGGGUGUGGCAUUUCAAAAUACAUUUCCUGUCAAAUGCAUAAAUGCAAAAGAAUACCACUUCUAAAAGUUAGAUCAAAUCGAACCUGAACCAUGUCUGUAUCCCAGUGCAGUUGUGUGAGUGCAGUUGUGUGAGUACAGUGUUCAGAACCCUGCAUUCAUACUGUAUGAGUCUCUUCUUUGUGUUAUAUGUCUACCAAAUCAGGAAACAUUCUCUGUGGGUUUUAUAACACCUGGGCUCUGAUCAUACGGGAGUAGGGGCUAGGAGUUGUUUCUGGGUGGGCCCAAGUUCCAAUACCAUGUGCAGGGAAGGGAUUUGACUUGAUGUUGGUGUAACAGUCUCAUUGUCCAUGGGGCCUGUAGGACAGGUCCCUCAGGGGCCAGGGGGUGAAGGGUGUUCCUUUCAGUGACCUCUCCUUUCAGUGACCUCUGACCUCUGCUCCUCAGAGUCCUCCUGUGAUGGCUGAGAGGUUAUGGCGCAGCGCCUGCAGCUCCUGGAUGAGUUGGGAGAUCUCUAGGGCUGCAGCCUGUCUCUCCCUCACUGCCUUAGUUAGGGACCGGAGAGUGCUGCCCUGCUGCACUGGAGGGGGGGGAGGGGGGGGAACGCAGAAACACAGUCAUACAAAG
ensembl:lncRNA